UUUUGUUUUUUUCCACAGCUUUCUUGAACUGCAUCUAAUUACAAUUUCAAUUCACAAAAUGAAUAAUUGAUUCAUAUUGUUGUUGCGGUUCAAUAAGGCUGUGGGAAGAUACAGAUA
rnacentral:pre_miRNA from 1 species